rnacentral:snoRNA from 11 species
AUGACCUUACUUGAACAGGAUCUGUUCUAUAGGCUCGUACCUUCGUAUUCUUGAUUCCUAAGUUAUCAAAAAAGACGAAAAUACCACUGAUUUAAUGGAGAAAAAUGGACGGAGUUAACGAGCCAUAUGAAAAUGG